AUUCCAGCUCCAAUAGCGUAUAUUAAAGUUGUUGCAGUUAAAAAGCUCGUAGUUGGAUCUCAGGGUGAGCUCAGUUGGUCGGCCUAAUUGGUCAGAACUGGCUGACUCUCCCUUGUUUCUGAAUCCCGGUCGGAGUUAAUUCUUCGUUCGUGGACUUCAGAUCGUUUACCUUGAAAAAAUUAGAGUGUUCAAAGCGGGCGUUUGCUUGAAUACAUUAGCAUGGAAUAAUGGAAUAGGACCCUGGUUCUAUUUUGUUGGUUUUGAGGACCAGAGUAAUGAUUAAUAGGGAUAGUUGGGGGGCAUUCAUAUUUAAUUGUCAGAGGUGAAAUUCUUGGAUUUAUGAAAGAUGAACUUCUGCGAAAGCAUUUGCCAAGGAUGCUUUCAUCA
rnacentral:rRNA from 1 species